UACGGAGGGUGCAAGCGUUAUCCGGAUUCACUGGGUUAAAGGGUGCGUAGGUGGGUUGGUAAGUCAGUGGUGAAAUCCCCGAGCUUAACUUGGGAACUGCCAUUGAUACUAUCAGUCUUGAAUACCGUGGAGGUCAGCGGAAUAUGUCAUGGUAGCGGUGAAAUGCUUAGAUAUGACAUAGAACACCAAUUGCGAAGGCAGCUGGCUACACGAAUAUUGACACUCAGGCACGAAAGCGUGGGGAUCAAACAGG
rnacentral:rRNA from 1 species